rnacentral:rRNA from 1 species
UACGUAGGUGGCAAGCGUUAUCCGGAUUUAUUGGGCGUAAAGAGAACGCAGGCGGUCUUUUGAGUCUGAUGUGAAAGCCUUCGGCUUAACCGGAGUAGUGCAUUGGAAACUGGGAGACUUGAGUGCAGAAGAGGAGAGCGGAACUCCAUGUGUAGCGGUGAAAUGCGUAGAUAUAUGGAAGAACACCAGUGGCGAAAGCGGCUCUCUGGUCUGUAACUGACGCUAAGGUUCGAAAGCGUGGGUAGCAAACAGG